rnacentral:tRNA from 16 species
AGUACCCCAGCGGCAGCGCAGCCGGCUGCCGCUUUGAAGACGGGGGUUCGAAUCCCCCU